rnacentral:lncRNA from 10 species
CGUGAGUCACCGUGCCCGGGCAGUUUCAGGAGCGAGCUUCCCGGAACAAUCUAGCCACCAGCCUUUCCCUGCAGCUGACAGGCUGCGGUCACCACCGCCACCACCACCCUGAAUUAUUCAAGACCCUCCAGGCCUCAGUGGCAGCCCUUCCCCUCUCCCUGUGCAACCAGGCUGUCAACACCAGACUCUAGGCCUCUGCCAGUGAUCUAUGGACCUCAGGGCCCCCGAGCUUCAGCCUGCUCAGGCUCUGCUUGUCAUGGCUGAAAUCCCCUGGACUGCAUUGGGACCAUACUGCUGAGAGUCUGGUUGCUGGGCUUCAGCUGACAGAACAUCAGAGCCCCAGGAUGGGAUAGCCACAAGUUGGGAAGCUGCCACCACUGGGAAUGGUACAUUCAGGAGGGCAUGGUUUUACAGAGAAGUUUGAGGCCCAGAGAUGUGCGAGCUGCACUCAAAGUCACACAGCAAGUUUGGUUCAUUAGCAGGACUCAAGUUGGUCAUUUGUAUCGUGAAAGCUGGACAAAACUAUAUCUAAGCUCCCCAUCUUCCCUCAAAGCUUGGCCUGGGGAGCCCUACAUGAAACCUUGGAGCUUCUGAGCCUUCCCCCACCCCCAGCGGGGGGCUUUUCGUUCUGUGAAGGUCUCAAAGUAACAUUCUAAAGAGGCACCGUGAGAGCCAAUCAGAGAGCCCAUGUAAAUAACGGCCCGCUGAUUGGCUGUCUCCUUCACGCCCUGAACGAAACUUCAACUUCAUCAACUCAGCGAAGAUUUUUUCCUCUGGCCUCGCGCGCCCUGCAGAAGGCGGGGCUGGGGGGUCACCCGAGCCUUCUCCCUGCCGCAGGCUACCUGGGCCCGCCGAAUGGGAUCGCGCUGGGACAGGCGGGGGCGAGUGUGCCGCCCUGACCCUGGCCCCGGGGGUGUUAUUCUGGUACAGAAUCCCCCGCGGGGGAGGCCCGAGAAGUGAGGCACCCCCGCUUCUUUGUAGGACCGCCACAGAACGGGCUGCAGGCCGCGAGUAUAGAGCUUGGCUGGGCGGGAUCGAUAUCUGCCCGCUGGACUGAUGCGCGAGGGAGGCUGCUAGACAGGCUGGCUUUGCGGCAGUGUGAUGGCCGCGCAGCACCCCCUGACCCCCACGGCUCCCCAACCCCGCCAUUCCCUUCAUCUAGCGCUCCCGGGGAAGCCGAGGCGGGCAAGUGGCGUAGCGAUGGAGGGCGCACCCAGGGGCAGCGACGCUCCCUCGCUCUGGCUCCCAGCCCUGGUGGUGGGUGCAGGAGUGAGGGUAGCCCAGGGUCGCACCCUGCUCCCAACCUCGGCUCGUCCCCACCCUCCACGGUCGUCCGCAGCUCGAGGCAGCCUGCAUUUCUGCCAGUAUCCUGUCCCCUCGCCCGGUCCUUCGCCCUCCUCCCACUUUCAUUGUGUGUCUCCUCUCUGGCUCUGAGGUUCCUCCUCCCUCCCUUCUCUCUCUGGGUGUCUCCGUGUCUAUCUCCACAUCUCCAUCUCCAUUUCUUUCUCUGCCUGUCUCUGUCUCUAGCUGUCUCUGUCCCUCAGUCUCUGCUCAGGUCUCCGCUCGCCUCUUGCUCAUUUUCGUUCCUCUCUUUGUCUGUCUGACUCUCUCUUGUCUCCCCCCCUUCAGUUACCCCCAACCCCCCGCACACACACACACCUCACAGCCCUGUUUACGACAUCCCCUGGGCUGGCAGGUGGGCGGGGCUGCAGCAGAGCGGGGGUGAGAGAGGGAGACGCAGCCUCCCCCCCAGCUGUUAACCUUCACGCUUCAGGCCUCUGCGGAUGGCAGAGGAGGGGGAAAGCCCAGCUGCCAGCUUGGCGGAGGUGACCGGGCGGGGGCUGGGGGCUGUCCCUCCCUCUGGGCUCGUCUCUGGGGAGAUCUGGGGCCGGAAGGAAUGUGGUGGAGGGCGCCUUCGGCUGAGGAAGGCUGUUGCCGGAUGGGUGGCCUCCUGAAGGCUUGUGCUGGCGAGGCGGGUGCCCAAAGGGGGCUCUGAGCGGUGUCGGCCCUGCCCGCAGCCCGGCCGGACGUGGGGGCCGGCGUGAGAAUCCCGCCCAUCUGUGAGCCGGCCUCACGCCGUCAGACCCAAUUUAUCUCGCCGCCAAAGUUUCACAGCCAUCUGCUCGAGUGGAACGGCUUCCAGCGCUGGCCCCACCGGGCCCCCCAGCCAGCGCGGGGAUGUUUUCCAAUACGACAGCAUCGCCCCGCCAAAGCAAGGAGGGGGUGUAGGGGGAGGCGGCAGAGCGCGGUGCGCGGGGCUGGCAGGCAGCCCUCUCCCGCGAGCGAGCCGACCCUGAAUUUUAAGCGAUUGAUCAGGAAGCUCAGGCCGUUCCCAUCACUUUGAGCAGCCAAAUGCGACGGCGCAGGGAUUUCAAGGGGCCUUUGCGGAGGCGGUAAUGAGGUCACCGUCACUGCGCCAGCCCGCGGGCGGGAGGGGGCGAAGGUCUGCGGACACGUGUGAACACAGCCUGUGAACCGAGCCACAUCUGUAUUCACGUGACCCCCGGGGCCCCAGCACUGACCCAGGAAAACUCGGCAUUUGGAUCUGAGCUGAUUCACACUCCCCCGCCCCCACCCCACCUACCCAGCCAGACACGGUUCGAGAGGCUGAGCUAGAACCCAGCCCUGCCACAUCCAUGAUUCCAUGAUCACCUCAGACAGCUUCAGCACAAGAGCCCCAACUCUCUUCUCCUCCCCGCUAUGUGCCUAAAAUACACAUAUUUGGGCACCUGCCCAUUGCACUUCUGAACAAGCCUGUGGAGACAGAUGUACCCUAGGCCCCCGGUAAUCACACAGGUGCACACAUUCCAAUUACACACCUGACCGCAAUGCUCGUGCAUUAGUACACUCCCAACCACCACCACUACCACCCCCAAACAUGCACACAGGUACUCCAUCAUUUUCAAGCCAGCACCCAGCAACACACGAGCCCCCAAACUCCCCUCCCCCGGGCGAACUCAUGUGCACACUCAUUCCCAAGACCCCGAGCUUGCUGCCAUGUCCGCGCGGGUGGGCGCCUCCACUGCCCGCCAGGCAGCGCGGGUGCAGACCUCGAAGAGAACAAAGGCCGGGCAGGUGGGAGGGAGGGGCGCUGAGCCCCCGGCCCGUCCUCCUAGGCAAUGCUCGUCUGUCUCGGCUCCGCGGCCACCGCAUCGAGCGGCUCUGAUUGCCGAGUAAAUCACCGCGAUGAUCUGAAUAAUUAUCGUCUCCUGAAAAGGGAAAAAACAGAGAAUAAAUAAAGAGAGAAGGGAGCAGUCACCUGAUUUCUAGGAGCCCUGGGGUAUGUUGGGGGGGGUGAAUACAUAGGGGUGGGUGUCAGUGGCCCCCUGCGGAUCCUCGGGACUUCUGUUGGGAUGGAGUGCAGGUGGGAUGGGCCUCAGGGCAGACAGUCCUUCCUUAAAGGUGGCAGUUAGCAUCCAGUCUCCCCCUUCGUCUCCCCAGGGUAAGUCAGGCCCCCUGGAGCACCCAACCGACCCCAGCUGGCUUCUCUGCUUCUUACACACUCAGGCCCACCUGACCUGUAGGGCACCCUCCUGUUCCAGGGCUUUGCUCAGUCGGUUCCCCCCUAGCAUGCCCUCUACCCACCACUCUGGCUGGCUUCACUCUCCCAUCUCUGAAGUUCAGCCCCAGGUUACUUCCUCUGAGAACUUCUUCCUGACUGCCCAGCCCUCCAGGAUCCUUCUCUCCCAGAGUUCCAGUGUCUGAUUGCAUUUUCUCUGACUGAUUUGGGUGUGUUGUCCUGAUCUUCUCAGCUGGAUGGCAGCUUUGGUGGAAGCAGCUAUGUUUUAAACAAAGCAGUAAUAGUAGCAACAGCAGCAGCCACUGCCCCAUUCUGAGCAGCUAGGAUGUGCUGGCCCUGUGCCAAAACAUCAUCUCACCAUGGAUCCUCCCCAGAAUCCUGUGUGGAAAGUAAUGUCUCCAUUUAAAUAAUGGGGAAACUGAGGCGUACCAAGAGUGAAGCUUGGAUUCCUUUCCUCAGGGAUGAAGAUGCUGGUCAUCUACGGUAUCCUUUCUGCAGUUGUCCCCUGAUCCCACAUAUUGGAGGAGUUGCUUCUCUUCCAGUGCUGGGCACCAAGACACAAUUACCUCAACUGGCUGGGCACAGUGGCUCAUGCCUGUAAUCCUAACACUUUGGGAGGCCGAGGUGGGCAGAUUGCUUGAGCCUAGGAGUUUGAGACCAGCUUGGGCAACAUGACAGAACACCAUCUCUACAAAACAAACAAACAAACAAAAACAAACAAACAAAUGAAAAACACCAAAAAUUAGCUGGUAUGGUGGUGUGAGCAUAUAGUUCCAGCAACUUGGGAGGCUGAAGAAGAAGGAUGGUUUGAACCCAGGAGGUUGAGGCAGUGAGCCGUGAUUGUGCCACUAUACUCAAGCCUGGGCAACAGAUCGAGACCGU